UACAGAGGGUGCAAGCGUUAUCCGGAAUGAUUGGGCGUAAAGCGUCUGUAGGUGGCUUUUUAAGUCCGCCGUCAAAUCCCAGGGCUCAACUCUGGACAGGCGGUGGAAACUGCCAAGCUGGAGUACGGUAGGGGCAGAGGGAAUUUCCGGUGGAGCGGUGAAAUGCGUAGAGAUCGGAAAGAACACCAACGGCGAAAGCACUCUGCUGGGCCGACACUGACGCUGAGGCGCGAAAGCCAGGGGAGCGAACGGG
rnacentral:rRNA from 1 species